UAUCAUUUAAGUCACUGAUAAUCAUUAUCCUGUUUUAUAGUCAACAUGUAUGAUAUACUGAAAACAUUAGGGACAGAUUUGGAUCCCAAAAGUCCGAUAUUGUUGAUGAUUGUCAUGUACAUGUUAUUUAUUGUCGGAUUAAAUUUUGUUCGCGCUUCACACUCAGUGAUUCCAAUGGUAACCAAGAAUGAUCUUAAUAAUGAUAAUUUUGAGGAACUUAGAUAAUCACAAAUAAUAGUGCCAUCCAGGAUAAGAUUUUUGGAGAUGACAGACUUAAAAUGCUGGACUGAAAGACAGGCAUUUCGUAGUGGAACAUAGAGAUGGUAAUGGCGCCCUUAAUGACAUAUUUAUUUUGAUUGAAGAACAACAUCAAGGGAAGAAUACAGGAUAAUGUUUUCACUUGUAUGAAGCAAUUUCUAAAGAACCAAAAUCAUUAUUAUAAAAAAUGGCGACGAACGAGUCAAGCACGGAGAAAAAAAAGAAGACGCAUAACUCUAUCAAAAUAUUUGUCAUAUUUUCUAUUAUUAUAUAGAAUAAUUAAUGGAAGAUAAUUAAAAUAAAUGCAUACUUUUA